rnacentral:lncRNA from 1 species
AAAUUCAAAGAAAAUCUGUAUGUAUAUAAAUCAACGUUUUCAACAAAUUCCAAGUGCUUACUAAAAAUACCCAGCAUCAUGACAAUCUGUAUAUUGCUGGAUAAUGAAUUUGAAGAAGACAGUUGAAGAAAAUUACAUUGUCUAGUGCUGCAAUCAGCUUUUUUAUAUCUUACCUGUAUGAGCGUGAUCCCUUGAGGAAGUUCGUCUGAACCAUCACUGGUGCUUUUAAAACUUCUCAGACCCACACAGGUUUAAGUAAAUCAAAAUCUCUGGGUAAGAGAGCCCGGCCAUCAGCAUUUGUAAGCUCCCCAGGUGAGGUCAAUAAAAGCCAAGAUUGAGGACUGGUGAUUGAGUUCGCCAUAUACAGCCUGCUUAAAGUGAUUUUAUAGAUGCAAUAUGUAAACAAUUUCCACAUGAACUGUGAAAAUUAAAUUUGAAGUACAGUAAGUCCUCAAUUAACACCUUCAAUAUGUUUUUGGAAACUUAAGUGAAAUGAUUUAUAAUGAAACUUUUUUUCCUCAUCAACAGUAUAACUAACGGACUUUGAACAAAACGAUUUUACUUGAGGACCUGCUGUACAUCAUUUCCUUAAGGUAGCAGUUUCCAAGAUGCUAUUGACUUUAAACAAGGACUUCUUAUAUAUAAAAACAGGGUUGUGAUUUCACCUAGAUACCAGGGUCAUUGCUCAGAAACUAAAGGAAGCUGUCCAGGUAUAUUGGAUUCAGCCAUGAAUAUUUGCAAUGAACAAAGAAUUCCAGAAUACCUUCACAUUCCAAUUAAAGAUGAAACAAUGGAAGCAAUAGUCACAUGUAGGGACCCAGCCUUACAGGCUCUGUGGGUCUUUCUCCCCAUGUGCGGAGACAAGAGAUCGGAUAAGAGGACACGUCUGAACUGAGGUACCCUCCAACGCCUGUUCCAUAAAAUAAGCAAACAACUGACAGGUGAGAGCCACAGGUGGACAAGGCUUUAUACCUCCCACCUGAUGAUGGAACCCGCAGAAUGGAGGAAACAAUUUUAUAAUAAGAGAAAAGGAUCCCCAAGAUGGGAAGAAAACCAAAUAUGGCAGCAAGGAAAUACAUGACUAUGUUAUUGGUGAAGGUGUCACAACAGGCAAGGUGGGGGAGUUGAGAGGGGUCACAGAAGAAAUUGGGAAUUUCCGCAUCUUUGAAGCAGGUAAUUUGUAAGGCAAUGCAGUUGUGCAGCUGGGAGUCUAAAAGACUGAGAAAAAAAGACAACAAAACUAGGAAGCCACAAAAACAUGGGUUCAUGAUGACUGGAUAAUACAGAGGGUAACAAAUGGCCACAAACCGGUCAUAAGCCAUCACACUCAGGAGCAUGUCUUCCAUGCCUCCAAAAACGGCAAAAAGCGACAUCUGAGUCAGGCAGCCCACAUAGGAGA